rnacentral:piRNA from 1 species
UGCUUAUAGUUGCCUCGUGUCACAAGA